rnacentral:rRNA from 1 species
AGACCCGAAACCCGGUGAUCUAGCCAUGGGCAGGUUGAAGGUUGGGUAACACUAACUGGAGGACCGAACCGACUAAUGUUGAAAAAUUAGCGGAUGACCUGUGGCUGGGGGUGAAAGGCCAAUCAAACCGGGAGAUAGCUGGUUCUCCCCGAAAGCUAUUUAGGUAGCGCCUCGUGAAUUCAUCUCCGGGGGUAGAGCACUGUUUCGGCUAGGGGGCCAUCCCGGCUUACCAACCCGAUGCAAACUGCGAAUACCGGAGAAUGUUAUCACGGGAGACACACGGCGGGUGCUAACGUCCGUCGUGAAGAGGGAAACAACCCAGACCGCCAGCUAAGGUCCCAAAGUCAUGGUUAAGUGGGAAACGAUGUGGGAAGGCCCAGACAGCCAGGAUGUUGGCUUAGAAGCAGCCAUCAUUUAAAGAAAGCGUAAUAGCUCACUGGUCGAGUCGGCCUGCGCGGAAGAUGUAACGGGGCUAAACCAUGCACCGAAGCUGCGGCAGCGAACGUAUCACCCAAGACAACUUU